rnacentral:rRNA from 10 species
AUCCUGCCAGUAGUCAUAUGCUUGUCUCAAAGAAUCAACGCCAUCAGAUGCAUAUC